CAGCAAACGGUGCCCAUGCCGAACCAGACCUUUGGCGGAGUAGGAGGUGCUCCGGCUGCAGGGUGCAACCACAACAAGCCGGGGGAGGAGGAGGUGCUCCGGCUGCAGGGCGCAACCACCACAAGCCGGGCGAGGAGGAGGUGGCGCGCCGGCGCCGCCAAGGCAGCGGGUGCGCGCGCGGCCAGGCCAGACCACCAACCCACACAGCACCUCGGAGGGAGUGAACUAUCUAUCGAGCGACGCUCAUAUAGUUUUACUGUCAAUUUGGCCGACAAUUAACCUUAUAGAAUAUAAAACCAAGGGGAGCAGUUAGCUUCUUAGCACUAAUCUGAUUAGUUUCCCGUGUUUUCGUCCUUUUAGUUGCCCAUACUGUUCUUGUUCUUCUCUACUCAUAUGCAGUUCUAUUUAGCUCCAUGGACCUCUCUUCCUCUAUAAACUGAAUGCUGGAUGAUUUAUUCUAAUUAAUUAAUCAUCUGGUCCUUGUCGCAGUUUUGCCGGGAGAGGAUAGCCGAGAGGAUAAAGGCCCUGCAAGAACUGGUGCCCAAGUUGAGCAAAGAUAUCAGCUGGAGAACGAGGCACAGAUUGUGCUUGUAGCUAAGCUAGCUUAAUUGGAUUCUUCGAGAUCCAAGUGGUCGAAGACGAUAGCUACAUCACUAAGGGUUUUGGUUGGGAAGCUGCUGCUUUAUUAUUGCAUCAGUCAAUGCUGACCAGGAAUUAAAAUAAGGGCUUCAACAGAUGCCGAUGCAACAAAAAGGAUGGAGCCAUCAGGUUGAGAUUUCAUGUGUGAGCAAUUGUUGUACAAUGAGAUUUAAUUGCCGGGAGUAAAUUGUUUUGUACUAUCAAAUGUAGACUUCUAUUAAUAAUAUGUGUCGCUAAAGC
rnacentral:rRNA from 1 species